rnacentral:rRNA from 1 species
UACGUAGGGGGCAAGCGUUGUCCGGAAUCAUUGGGCGUAAAGAGCGUGUAGGCGGUUCGGUAAGUCGGCUGUGAAAGUCCAGGGCUCAACCCUGGGAUGCCGGUCGAUACUGCCGGACUAGAGUUCGGAAGAGGCGAGUGGAAUUCCUGGUGUAGCGGUGAAAUGCGCAGAUAUCAGGAGGAACACCGGUGGCGAAGGCGGAUCUCUGGGCCUUACCUGACGCUGAGGCGCGAAAGCUAGGGGAGCAAACAGG